GGGGCGGGCGCGUGCCCCCUCAGGCGGCGCCUCCUCGGCGGGUGCUGGCGCGUCAGGGCGGCCCGGGGCGGGGACACCGGGAGCGAUCGCCAUAGCGCUGAGGGAAAUGCCGGAUCGCCAGCUCUCCGUGGUGGAAAAGUGAGUGAUCCUGCCUGGAAACUGCAGCCCGCCAGAAAAUCCUCCCGCUCCUUGGCCUUCCGUGUUCCCGCCUCGUUAGUCACCACUGUAGCUGCCUCAGAAUCGGAAAUGGGACUUUGUACAGCGCAGCAGAAACCUGGUGAUAGUAGAACUGAUCCACUGCAAAGCAGCAAUUAGCAACACUCAGGAAAAUCCGUUACCCAACAGCAACCGUGACCAGACUGUCACCAUUUAAACUGUCACAUCACAGAGUCAGUCAAAUGGAACUUAAAGUAAGGUAUGUCUGUACGGUCUUGGUUUGUCUGUCUUCUUCAUCUGAAACCCAACUUCUUUUUUCUUUGUUCAAGUUUAUGUAGGCAAACACAGAAAGAAGAAGCAUGAGGACAUUUCAGGAACUAUUUUGAAACAGACUUCUGUGAGAAAUGGUCACAUAACACUGGAUUGGUCUGAAGUGACUAAUUGCUCUUUUGUAUUUUAAAUUGCCAGGUUCUCCUUUCGUGUCUUACCAUUUCAGUUUUGUGGUAUCUGUAGAAAUGGCUUUGUGGCCAAUUGGUUUUUUAGUUCCUUCUUUAUCUUUUUCUUAAGUUCCUUCAUCUGUUGUAAAAUAGGUAGCCCAAGAUCAUGUUUUCACUGGCACUUAUACAAUCUCAAAACUUCAGGUUCAACUUAUUAUUAAUAUAAGAAAGUUUGUUCCAACAGUAACUCUGGUGUCAGUAGGCACAGUCCAGCUGGGCUCUCUCUGCUAUGUUCCGUCUCCCUGAAGGUGGGGGAUGGCCGAACAAACCGAACACCCCUGCCUGCCUCUCAGCAAUCACUUCUGGGCACAGCCUUCAAUGACAUACAGAGACGGCUCCAGUUGUCAGGGUCAGCGCUCAGCAGGACUCCUCUUACCCUGGCCAAAGAUAAAGCUGAGCUGCAUUGGCUUUAUUGGACUUAUUCUGGAGAUCACACUUGAACUCUGCUGUCCGAUUCACUUCUUUAGCUUAAUCCUCUACACUGCGUUCAAGCUUGUAUGUGUCAUGUAGCGAGUAGCUUAUAUCUUAGCACCAAAAAGAAAUUGUUACAGCAAUAGAACUCUGCAAAAUACCCACACCAGCCUUUCAAAGACAUGCAAGUUGUGUGGUUUUCCUGGUUGAUAUGACAACACACCAUAGACCAAAUCUUAAAAGUGGUGAAAGAAUGUGUGAGUCAAUCAUCUUGCACAAAACAAGAAAAGAACAUGAAUAAUGUUCAUGAAUAGAACAAGAAUAAUGAUUUAUAUUAAACAUAUUUGUCUGACAGUUAAAUAUUUUUUUUGUUUUGCUGUGUAGUGAUUAUGAGUGCAAUUCAUAUCAUGCAUUAUAAUGUGUUUACCUUUGCUUGAUACGAACAUGAUGCAGUACAUCAAGUCAAUAAUUUAUGAAAACAGAAUCCAUUUUGUAACCGUGUUAAUACCUCUUUGUAAUGUGUGUUCCUGGUUUAAUGAAAGUCUUACUAGUGCCCUGGCUAUGCACAGUUCUACCAGAUGGCAGAAUAAAAGCAGCAGAUAGUUUCUAGCCUUUCUAAAA